ensembl:rRNA 5S_rRNA 5S ribosomal RNA
GUCUAUGGCCAUACCACCCUGAACGCACCCCAUCUCGUCUGAUCUUGGAAGCUAAGCAGGGUUGGGCCUAAAACCAGGACAUAUUCU